AGUCAAUCUUUCAAGUUUGAGGAAACGUUUUCAGCUGCUUUGUUGGUAGAAACCUCCAUGCUCCACUGAGCCAACACUUUCAUCCGUCCACGUCAAAGCCCCUCCACGGUGGACCCCCCCCUCCUGCAGUCCAUCACUGCCCGCGCACUUCCUUAUCUACUGCCUUCAGCCAACACGCCAUUAUUCAGGCCGGCUCAGACAGCCAGCCUGAAAGCGGCGAAAACAGAUCGAUUUGGUGCGGUGGAGUGGUAGAGGUCAAGAGGAGCCCUCACUUGGCUCGCUGUGCUGGACCGAAUGACCGGUUCCACCAAACCAAAGGGAGGAAUGAUGCUCUGCUGAGGUUAACCGACCAAUUGGUCCUACAGAUGAGUUAAAGUUACAACAUCUUCACAAAACAGAAGAACAGAAGUUAUCUGAUGUGAGCGUAACUGGAGGGAAAUUCAGUUGUAGCAGCAGCAGAAUAAAAUAAAUACAAAAUAUACAGGGUAUUCAGAUGUCAUUAAUCAACCCACCCCAACCCCCGGUGUUAGUCCUGUCACUCACUCUCAUCAAUGUGCAAAACUACAAAGACAAAAUUGAGACCUGAGGCUGUCAAGAAGCAGGACGGUCACCAUUAACAAACUGGGAGAGACUCCAGUUGCCAAGGAAACAUAACCUGUUUCUCACUGUCACUAUGGUUACCUUCAUCCCAAAAAAGUUGUGUUGUUUGAGGUUUCUCUUUAGUCCAAAUUGUGGACCUUCCAGUAUAAAUACAGGUGGAAAAUGUUUAAACCAACUCCCCAUCCAGUGCUAACCAGCCGCUCAACCAGCGACAGAAGUGGACUCUCUGCGCUCCAGCGACCGGCCAACGCAGCUUCCGUUUAGGAGACGCAAACAGAGGUUCAUUCAUGAAGCAGGUGCACGUUCCCGCGCACACAGCCAGGUCUGGAUUAAGCCCCGAUCACAUCCUAAAUCCGCCCCACGCUGCUGAAACGUGCAGGAUCACCUGAUCUGUGGCGUGCAACACAAAUGGGAGAAAAAAAGCAACAAACGGGGAGACAAGUGUUUCUCCUUACGGCGGGACACUAAACGACUCUCUUUCAGGUUUUUUCUCCUUCACAGGGAUAAGGAUCUUAACCAUCCGAGGAGUCAUGCUGCCACCUGCUGGUGGGAUCCAGAACUCCACAGAGGUUCUCCUUCAGCGCCUGAAAGGAGCCGUGGGGGUGUGAGGAGGAAAGCAGCGAUGACGGGGCUGGAGCGCUCAGAGGAAAUGAAACCAGCAUCCCUGCAGAUCCUGAAGGCUAAGUCCUUUCACUUCCUCACUGGAUCCCUCUUUUCAUCCGACCUUUCCACAGCUGGACCCUCUCCUGAUCCCCCGGAGACCCAAAGUGAGAUGGAAUAUUGAGAAAAGCUGCUAGAAGGGACCCUCCCCCAAAUCAGGACACAUGAAGAGGAGCAGCCCUGACGACCCUCCACAUAAACAGUAAAGGGAACACGAAGGAGCCGUCCCGGCGACUCUCCUUGGGAAUGAGAUGGGGAACAUGAAGGAGCUGUCCCCGUGACCAAGCUCAGGAGCAGGACAUGAAGAGUAGCGAUCCCGGUGAACCUCCUCAGGAACAGACAUAUGAAGAGGAGGGGCCCCAGUGACCAUUCUCCAGAGGGGACAAGGGACAUGUGGGAGCAGCCCCAGUGAACCUCCUCAGGAACAGACACAUGAAGAGGAGCGGCCGCGUUAACUCUCCUCAAGAACAGACACAUGAAGAGGAGCGGCCCCAGUGAUCAUUCUCAGGAACGGGACAAGUAACGUGUAGGAGUGGUUCCGGUGACCCCACUCAGGAAUAGACACAUGAAGUGGAGCGGCCCUGACAACCCUUCUUGAGAACAGAAGAGGGAAUAUGAUGCUGCAUCCUAGUGACUGUCCUCAGGAGCGGGACAAGAGACAUGAAGAGAAGCGGCCCCAGUGAACCUCUUCAGGAACAGAUGCAUGAAGAGAAGCGGACCCAGUGAACCUCUUCAGGAACAGACGCAUGAAGAGGAGCGGCCCCAGAGAUCCUUCUAAUGGUACGCGGAAUAUGAAGGAGUUGGUCCCGUGACCCUUCUCAGGAACAGACCCAUAAAGAGGAGCCAGCCCAGCGAUCGUUCUUGGGAACCGACGCAUCAAGAGGAGCGGCCCCAGCAACCCUCCUCAGGAACAUACACAUGAAGAGGAGUGGACCCAGCAAUCCUUCUCUGGAACAGCAAAGAGAAAGUGAAGGGGCGGCACUGGCAACCCUCCUCAGGAACAGAUACUUUUAGAGGAGCGUCCCCAGUGACCCUCCUCAGGAACAUUCACAUGAAAAAGAUUGGCCCCGGUAACCUUCCACGGGAACAGAAGACUUGAAGCAUGUCUGAUAUCUUAAAAAAGUAACACUUAUUCAUUUUUUUGUAUUAGUGUCUGAACUCUUUUUAGUGCAUACUGUAUGUGUAAUUCCAAUUUUUGUCCCAAAUUGAUUGCAAUUAAGUUUACAAUUUUACUAAAGAGAUCUAAUUUUCUUUUAUUCCGUUUCAUUUUGAAACAUCUUCCUGUGAUUCUUAAUAAAUUCCAAAAAUCUUUUAUUCCUCGAGAGAAAAAACAAAAACAUGUUUUUCUAAUCUUAAUGUUUUUCUUCAUAGUUUUCUGAAAGUACUGUGGGCGUCAGCGGCGCCUCCUCCUCAGGAGAACCGUGGCGUCUGACGGCGGCAGACUUCUGUAAACAUUGGCGUGUCGAUGGCCCUGAGGGGGGGGCAAGAAAAUACCUGAGAAGGAAGAGCGACUAAUAAACUGCUGCUCUGACACA